AAUCCAUCCCAAAAUGAUAUCAAAAUCCACCAUAUCUAAUUCAAAUAGAACCACCACAGUUUCUUUACUACCAAUAGAUACCAUACUAUCAUGACCCAACUUUCGAGCCAUGAUGAUAACUACCACACCCCACUGGUAGGUAAGACAACAUCGUAACAACAACAUUAUAACAACACAUUAUAACAACAACAUUCCAUGACUAAGGAAAAUGAUAUUUAAUACCAAUCCCAUGACCUAACAGUAUUAGUACAAGAGCAACUCUAAACUCGAUGAUAGAAAUUUACAACUCAAAGUUUGAUAAACUUAAAUAGUUUUAUACAACUAUCUCGAAUACAAAAGAUAAGUAAAGAUGGAAGGGGAAAAGGGAAACUCGAACUCCAAUAGCUC
rnacentral:lncRNA from 1 species